UGGUGGAGUGAUUUGUCUGGUUAAUUCCGUUAACGAACGAGACCUCCGCCUGCUAAAUAAUUGCAUGUACAGUUUUUAUUGUAGAUGUGAAUUACUUAGAGGGACUUUUAGCGAUUAGCUAAAGGAAGUUGGAGGCAAUAACA
rnacentral:rRNA from 1 species